GACGAACGCUGGCGGCGUGCCUAAUACAUGCAAGUCGAGCGGACGAAUCGAAAGCUUGCUUUUGAUUCGUUAGCGGCGGACGGGUGAGUAACACGUGGGCAACCUGCCCUGUAGACGGGGAUAACACCGAGAAAUCGGUGCUAAUACCGGAUAACACGAAAUGUCGCAUGACGUUUCGUUGAAAGACGGCGCAAGCUGUCGCUACAGGAUGGGCCCGCGGCGCAUUAGCUAGUUGGUGAGGUAACGGCUCACCAAGGCGACGAUGCGUAGCCGACCUGAGAGGGUGAUCGGCCACACUGGGAAUGAGACACGGCCCAGACUCCUACGGGAGGCAGCAGUAGGGAAUCUUCCGCAAUGGACGAAAGUCUGACGGAGCAACGCCGCGUGAGCGAAGAAGGCCUUCGGGUCGUAAAGCUCUGUUGUUAGGGAAGAACAAGUAACGCAGUAACUGGCGUUACCGUGACGGUACCUAACGAGAAAGCCACGGCUAACUACGUG
rnacentral:rRNA from 1 species